rnacentral:rRNA from 1 species
GAUGAACGCUGGCGGCGUGCCUAAUACAUGCAAGUAGAACGCUGAAGGAGGAGCUUGCUCUUCUGGAUGAGUUGCGAACGGGUGAGUAACGCGUAGGUAACCUGCCUGGUAGCGGGGGAUAACUAUUGGAAACGAUAGCUAAUACCGCAUGACAACAGUUAUUGCAUGAUAACUGUUUAAAAGGGGCAACUGCUCCACUACCAGAUGGACCUGCGUUGUAUUAGCUAGUUGGUGAGGUAACGGCUCACCAAGGCGACGAUACAUAGCCGACCUGAGAGGGUGAUCGGCCACACUGGGACUGAGACACGGCCCAGACUCCUACGGGAGGCAGCAGUAGGGAAUCGUCGGCAAUGGACGGAAGUCUGACCGAGCGACGCCGCGUGAGUGAAGAAGGUUUUCGGAUCGUAAAGCUCUGUUGUAAGAGAAGAACGAGUGUGAGAGUGGAAAGUUCACACUGUGACGGUAUCUUACCAGAAAGGGACGGCUAACUACGUG